rnacentral:rRNA from 1 species
CCCUUAGAUGUUCUGGGCCGCACGCGCGCUACACUGACGAUGGCAACGAGUUUUUCCUUCGCCGAAAGGUGUGGGUAAUCUUUUGAAACAUCGUCGUGCUGGGGAUAGAUCAUUGCAAUUUUUGAUCUUGAACGAGGAAUUCCUAGUAAGCGCGAGUCAUCAGCUCGCGUUGAUCACGUCCCUGCCCUUUGUACACACCGCCCGUCGCUACUACCGAUUGAAUGGUUUAGUGAGGACUCCUGAUUGGCGCCGCCGCCCCGGCAACGGAGCAGCGGACUGCCGAAAAGUUGUUCAAACUUGAUCAUUUAGAGGAAGUAAAAGUCGUAACA